rnacentral:rRNA from 1 species
UGAGUAAUGUCUGGGAAACUGCCCGAUGGAGGGGGAUAACUACUGGAAACGGUAGCUAAUACCGCAUAACGUCUUCGGACCAAAGUGGGGGACCUUCGGGCCUCACACCAUCGGAUGUGCCCAGAUGGGAUUAGCUAGUAGGUGGGGUAAUGGCUCACCUAGGCGACGAUCCCUAGCUGGUCUGAGAGGAUGACCAGCCACACUGGAACUGAGACACGGUCCAGACUCCUACGGGAGGCAGCAGUGGGGAAUAUUGCACAAUGGGCGCAAGCCUGAUGCAGCCAUGCCGCGUGUAUGAAGAAGGCCUUCGGGUUGUAAAGUACUUUCAGUGGGGAGGAAGGCGUUAAGGUUAAUAGCCUUGGCGAUUGACGUUACCCGCAGAAGAAGCACCGGCUAACUCCGUGCCAGCAGCCGCGGUAAUACGGAGGGUGCAAGCGUUAAUCGGAAUUACUGGGCGUAAAGCGCACGCAGGCGGUCUGUCAAGUCGGAUGUGAAAUCCCCGGG